rnacentral:rRNA from 1 species
UGGGGAAUUUUGGACAAUGGGCGCAAGCCUGAUCCAGCAAUGCCGCGUGCAGGAAGAAGGCCUUCGGGUUGUAAACUGCUUUUGUACGGAACGAAACGGUCUGGGUUAAUACCCUGGGCUAAUGACGGUACCGUAAGAAUAAGCACCGGCUAACUACGUGCCAGCAGCCGCGGUAAUACGUAGGGUGCAAGCGUUAAUCGGAAUUACUGGGCGUAAAGCGUGCGCAGGCGGUUUUGUAAGACAGGCGUGAAAUCCCCGGGCUCAACCUGGGAAUUGCGCUUGUGACUGCAAAGCUGGAGUGCGGCAGAGGGGGAUGGAAUUCCGCGUGUAGCAGUGAAAUGCGUAGAUAUGCGGAGGAACACCGAUGGCGAAGGCAAUCCCCUGGGCCUGCACUGACGCUCAUGCACGAAAGCGUGGGGAGCAAACAGG